rnacentral:rRNA from 1 species
UACGUAGGGGGCAAGCGUUGUCCGGAUUUAUUGGGCGUAAAGGGCUCGUAGGUGGCCAACUAAGUCAGACGUGAAAUCCCUCAGCUUAACUGGGGAACUGCGUCUGAUACUGGAUGGCUUGAGUUUGGGAGAGGGAUGCGGAAUUCCAGGUGUAGCGGUGAAAUGCGUAGAUAUCUGGAGGAACACCGGUGGCGAAGGCGGCAUCCUGGACCAACACUGACACUGAUGAGCGAAAGCCAGGGGAGCAAACGGG